rnacentral:misc_RNA from 1 species
CGUCUAACCAGUGCCUCCGUAAUCCACCAUCACCGUGAGGCAGAGAACCGAUGGGAGGGGGAGUGAGAAUGCCGCCAGGGGCGAUUCGAGCAUGCGACGCCGGCAGGACAUCACUAUGAGGCUUGGGAAGUUUGCCGAGCCCUCAGGAAUGUGUUCGUGAAAUUCUCGAAGGAGGAACGCCACCAGGCUCACCGAAAUUUCUCACUGUGUCUGCUACGUCGUUGUGGAUCCGCCCUACGCCGAGGACGAGACAUAAGCACCACUGAAUUCACGAUAGGGAUCUUCUCAACUGUUUCGUCUUGGUCCAUACGUCGUGUAGCGUGUGUCGGAUGGGAGUUUGCUCUCUUGGGUUGAGUGUUACCUGCUUCAGCCAUGGCACCGCCGCAGGAUUUGUGCGUUACCGCCUCUGCAAUGGUUGGGCCGCCGUGGGGGAGUCGAGACGGGUCAGGGUUCUUUCUGGUCUGUGUUGAGGUUCGCUACGGCGACACGCGCUCACGUCCCAGCGAGCUCACCUCGUCGGCGGCCAAGGGCAUCAUCUGCACGGAGAUUGCAAGGAAUCGAAGAUGUCUCCGUGACUCCAUCGUCAUGAGCAGUGGGCGGCCGCGGCGACGAGCGACAACAGAGCUUCAAGGAAAGGUACGCGUCAAGCCUGUCGAUGAACUUCGGAGACGGUGGGCGUCAGAUAUUGCUCUACGUGUUGAUGCUGAUCCCCUUAAGGACCUACGGGUGAAGGGCUCCAUCUCACGUUUUUGGGGAUAUGGCGAUGAGUGCAAUGAGGAUUAUCUGCAGGAGUCUGGAUCAGUUGAAACACCAUCCAAAUCAUUGAUUGUAAAAAAGGCAUAUAUGGCUGGAUACUCCUUUCAGGAUUUGGUUCAGGCAGAUCGAUAUCUUGACAGCUCUACUAUCAGUGCACAAGUAUCUGCCAUUGAAACACCAUCUGAUUUGGGGAGCAAAGGCAAAUUCGUCAGAAACCUACUGACAGACCUUGUUACAAACAAAAAAAAGACAGGUAAACCAUGGCAAGGUCCCCUUCCGGCUCCAAGGAUUUCUCCACCUUUAACACUUGCAGACUGUCCGUUCCGUGUUAAUCAUAGAUUCCAACGAAUUGGUGAGCAGGGAUCAGGUAACAUGGUGACAAUCAGUGACCAGAGCUGGGGAAGGAAGAGUGAUGCUGCUCAAAAUUUGAAACUCCACGCGAGAUUUCAGGCUUCAGUUACAGAAGGCAGCACCUCAAAAAAAGGAAACACCAAGUUCAGGCCAAAUUGGGCCCUUGCACGCCUGUUGACCAGACGGGGCAAGUUUUUUGGCAAAGCCCAGCCCACAAACGUUUGCCCCAAAGGUGUCAUACCCUACGUACCACCACUGCCCAGAUUUGCAGCCGCCGUCAAUUCUCCUACUCUCCCAGUUUUGCCUUCACACAAGCCACCAUACAAAUCUUACGCCGAGGUUGUGAGACGAGGGGUUAAGGCAAUGGAGGACAGAGGCAAAACUGGAUUCUCUGGAUAUGGAGCAGGCAGAGCUUUGGGUCACAAUGAAGGUGAUCGAAUGGAGCUUCGGCUAGGACAGGUCCAGGGGAACAACGCUGGCUUUGGGCAGGGAAGUGGACCUUUUCAGCCGGCAACAAUGCUUGGGGGUAAUUGCCAGCAGAUUGCUCCAAAUUUUGGAGGUUCGUUUUUUGGGCAAGGGAAUUUGGUGUUUGGUCAGCGCUUGCAAGGUUCGCAGUUAGGGUUCAAUCAAGGAUUUGGUGGCAGCACUGGAGGCAAUAGGGAUUUGUCUUGGACACAUGGGCGAGAUCAUCGUGCUCGGUCUGCGCAUGCACCCCGUGCUGGGAAGUUCAGUGCCAACAAACAUGUUGUAGAGGGUGGGAAAUUGGAGAAUUCUCUGCAACACCAGGGGCAGCGCACCAAUAAAAUGAUGCAGAACAAUGCUGAACCUGAACCUAUGAAGCUGAAUGCAAAACGGAUAAUGGAAGAAAUGGUUGACAAUAGGCAUGACAAAAAAAGGAUGGAGAAGCAAGAUGAGAAUGUAAUAGUUCAGGAUGCUAUAAAGAUCACUCCAGGGAUUGAGGCACCAAAAGGUAAACCAAAAUGGUGUUUCCGGUGUAGAACUAAGGGGCAUGCUACAACAGAAUGUACCGCGAUCCUUUUCUGCAAUAUAUGUGAGGGAGGUGAUCAUGUAGCAGCCACUUGCCCCAUCAAGAAAAAACCUCGACCGGUGGCUCUCUCAGUCGGUUAUGCUGUGGAUGGUUUAGGUUUCUUUCAUAUUCCACAUGGGCCGAUUUCUACUACCAAAAAUGAAAAGAAUAUGGCACUAAUCAAAGUUAUAGGAGGUGCACUUCAACAAGCAGAUUUGGUUGCCCACUUACAGCGGCUGGUGCCUGGAAAGUUUGAAUGGGAUGCGCAACUGCAUGCACCAAAUAAAUGGGUAACAUCCUUUCCUUCAAAAGUAGAAUUAAAGCGAACAGUGAAUUUUGGUUCUGCUGAUCUAAAGAAUGGCUUAGUGUUAAAAUUUGAAGAAUUUGAGGAGGAAUACUUUGGAGUGGAACUGCCUCGUGUGUGGAUGCGGGUACUGAAUUUACCUAACGUACUUCGAACAUAUGAGGUGUUGUGGGCUAUUGGAACGAUGAUUGGAGCUACUACAAAGGUGGAUAUGAUCACUACUCGAAAGAGUAAUUUUGGUCGAUUUGAGGUGGCUGUUCUAAACACAUCAAUAGUGCCUACACAGAUAGAUGUUGUCAUUGGCACAAGAUGGUUUGAAUUACAACUUCAAAUUGAGAGCACAAGUUCUUCUUCAGGGACAAGAACGACUGAGGAUAAUGGUAACGCUAAUGGCGACAAUCAGGAAAAAGGCAAUGACUCAGAAAUGAAGGAUGAAGAAGCUGGUGCUAAGGAUCAUAAGUCCUCUCAUUCAAAUGUUUCUUUUUCAGUUAAAGGAGCAGGGACCUCUAAAGGACAGCAGGUUGAUGAUGGUUCCAUUGAGGAUUUAGAGGAAGAUGGUUUAUUGGAUGUUGGUUGGGAGGUGGCAGAUGGUCCUACUACUGAUUUACCCUCUGAAUUGUAUCUAGAUAAUUAUGUAGUCCAAAAAGACAACAACAAUAUUCAAAUUCAGAAAAAUAUGGGCAAUGAUGUUGAGCAGAUGCAACCCCAUGUACAGGCUAAUUUAAGGAAAAAUCGCUUGUUCACAAUCAGUGAAACACAUGCUGAAUCACAACCUACAACAAUACAAACAAAGCAAAACCAGAAAGAAGAUGAUCGCGGCAUCGAAGCUACUGCAUCAGAUGCCCUAGGUCCUUUGCUAGAUAGGGCCUUGACAGAGCUUAAAGAAAGGCAGUUUCCACAUAAUGGCAGCACAGAGGAUGGUCAAGUUCUAACUGACAACCAGCUACACACUCCACCAUACCAGGUGAAAAAAGCUAUAAUGCUAGGACACCGAAGAGGAGGAGUAAAAGGAGGGAGGACUCUGUCAACGAAGAUUCCAUCGAACGUGCUGAAAGGUUGGUGGCAAAAAGGAAUUUGGAGAAUUCUAAAGGUAGUGUUCAGAGGAACCCACUGGAUAAGACAAUGGUCCGUGUUGCAAAAAGAGGAAAACAUGACACAAAUCAAGUGGG